ACUACUGUACAUCAGACAAUAUAUAUGCAUUAUGUUUUGCUAAAUAAAGUAUGUUUGAAACAAUGCUGGAGUGAUUGGUUAUACUUUAAUCCAAGAUUCAAGACCUUGGAAUGCGUUGCCAGGGAAAAAAUGAAAAGAGAGGAGCAACUAAACCAGUUCCUGCAGAGGAGCGGCUGAUGCUGCAGGACAAGUUGUUCUGCGGCUCAUUCAUGUGACUCUUCAAAACAAAAUUCAUGUUCAGUCAUGCUAUAAUCUCUAAUUUUCACUUUGCAAACUUGCCUUUGGUUUCAUUUUAUGCAGCCUGCACACUAAUUGCACUGACAGAUGAACACACCCAAAGACUGAGGGUGUGUUUUAAUGACUGCAGGAUGAUUACAACAUGUCUACCUCCAGGUUUUCAGUUCAAAAACAUCACAAAAACAUCUGUGGAUAAGCCUUCAAAUUAGCCAUAACAAAAAGCAAAGACGUGUCAAGAUAUGGUGGAUACAAAAUCUACACCUUAAAUAACCAAACUUGUGAAAAGCCUUUCCCCUCCUUGCCUUUAGGGGCGCUACACCAAAAGCUCCUAAAGGAAAUAACACCAGAAUCUCAGAAGAAGACUUCCUUCUGCACAUAAUGUAAACAAAAAUGGAGUGGUCUCAGAUUUUAGUGGUAGUAGGAUUUCUUUUGUAGUCGGUAAAAAACCAUGAACUAUUUCUCCGACUAGCACUAGACUAAUUAGUUUGCUUUGAUUGUAUUUACCCAGAAUGCCCUGUGCUAUAGUCCGCUUCCUGCUUUUGGAGCGGUCUCCAAUCCGCUUUGCAAACAUGUGCAUUCAAACCACACCAGAGUUCACUUCGAUUAAGUGUAACCAACGCAAAAAAUAAUCAACCCAUGUUUUAUUUUGGCGGGUCAAACUGACAACACACUUUAGGUUCCGGGUCAGAGGUGAACUCGAAUCUCCUCCAUUGCUGUUGCUGCUGUCGGUGUGGCUAGCUGCUUGUGCUUGGCGUCUUCCAAAAUCGUUGAAGAAUGUUGUUGAAUCGAGCCAAAUUAACACAGCCGAAGGAUUAAAUUGUUUGUUUCCUGGCAACCACUCGACGGUCAGGGUUUUUUUCCCCACCCCCUGUUUCAACCCAAAAUGGCGAGCUACUGGAUCACCGCAGCUUUGCGGUAGGACUUUAUUGAACCAAACUACUUUCCUUUUCCGGACCUAUUGCCUUGGAUCAUGGACUAAAAACAUUUGGAUUAUUGAUUGAUGGACCAUUAAUCAUCCUGCAUAGGACAGAGAAUGGACUUAGAAUAAGAAAAAAACUCUAGCGUUACAUAAGCCUGUCACAAUAACAAAUUUUUCUGGACCAUAGAUUGUCCCAGAAAUUAUUGCAAUAAAUGAUAAUGUUGUUUUGGAA